rnacentral:lncRNA from 1 species
AACAAUCCAUAUCUUAGAAGUGAAAGGCUAGUGACUAGUUCAUCAAAGAAGGUACAUUCCUUUACAAUGCAAAUUUUUCUUUUUUGUAGUUUAAUUUGAACUUCUUUUGGUAAUCUUGUUUAGGACUAUGUCACAAUAUCAUUUGUCUUUGUUGGGUUGUGUUUUGGUAACGCUUGUGUGGGCCUUUGUUUUAUCUUCGAAAUUAUUUUGUUAUAUGCCUACCAUGUGUUUGUUCUUUUGCCUCUUUGACAUUCUUUGCCAAUGUUGGAAUCUAUGUUAGUAGACUUUGCAAUUUCCUAUGGGCUUGAACUUUCCUAACUACUAAUAUAUUGUCUUGCUCACAGAGUGUUUGAUAAAUGUCACCAAAGACGUCUUUUGUACGAUUCUUGGGAUAGUUUUGAUGGCUUGCAUUCAACUUUGUACUUGUUUAUUAUAGUCGCCUACCACACGUUCGAUACUUUGUUUCAUUAAGAUUUUCAUGCCUACUUGGGACUCACUUCAUUUUCUAAGACAAAAUCUUUUAAUUGAUUCAGGUGGACAGUUAACUUUAGUUGAUUUUGUGCAAGAACACUUCCUCCAUGCCUCCUAAAAAGAAAUCCAAGGCCAUUGCCUCUUCCUCUACUACUGCAUUUGAUCGUUGACGAUUCAUUAGUUCUAAAGCAAAGGAACGCUAUAGACACAGUGUGGUACAUCGGAAUUGCAUUCCUGAGAGGGGCCUUGAUAAUUUUUUACCAGAUAAAAUCCACAGUUUGGGGUGGGAGAAGUUUACUAAGCAACCUAGUGCUGCAUCAAUUCCUCUGGUGAAAGAGUUCUAUGCUAACGCCAAUGAACAUGAGAACUUCAAGGUUUUUGUACGGGGUUUUUGGAUCAAGUUUGAUAGUGCCUCCAUUAACCGGUUCUACCAUACGCGGGAUAUACCCAAUGAUGACUAUUCCCGACUCUGGAAUGAGGGGAUCGAUCCUGGGGAGAUAAUUCGCACUAUAGCUCGCCUUGAUACCGAAUGGAAAGGAUCAGCUAGUGAUGUAACCCACUUCUCUUCAUUUGAUCUGACGCCCAAUUGUAAAAUUUGGCACCACUUCAUAUCAUCCAAACUGAUCCCCAGUAGCAACACUAGUGAGGUCACAAAGGAACGAGCCUUACUGAAUUUUGUGAUUCAAAAAGGAUAUUCUAUUGAUGUUGGUCGAGUCAUCCAAAAUAGUAUUCUUCGCAUCCUUACCGGGCCCGCUACAGGCAGUCUGGGUCACCCCUCUUUGAUCCAUGACCUUUGCAUACAAGGGGGUGUUCCCGUGCGCGAAACUGAUGAAGUGUUACACUCGAAACAAUCACUUACACGGGACCUCCGUGAUAGGCGUGUGGGACAUCGGGAAGUGCCUAGCUCUUCUCAAUCAUCUCGUCCGUUACCCCCUACACCAUCACCCCCACAACCUUCAGAUGCUACGGGGGACGUCUUUCGGCGUCUUGAAGCCAUGGAUUUGCGCAUGAGCCGAUGCAGGAGGGCAUGCAAGUACAAAUGAAUCAUUUACAAUCCACCAUCUUUGACCAAUUUCAAUACCAGAAUGCUUGCAUGGCGGUUAUGGCAUCUACACAUCCCGAGCUCACCUUCCCUCCACCGCCAUCACUUCCACCUCAUUCCCACCCUCCUGCUCCACCUGAUGAAGAGGAAGACGAUUGAUGUCUUCACUGAGGUAUUUCUCUUCCCCUUCUUCCAUUUUAACAUAGGGGCAAUGUGUAGUUUAAGUUUGGGGGGAGUAUCUUAAAUUUUCUAAAAUCUAAAAUUGUCUAUUUUAUUUAUUUAUUUUGUAUGAUUGUGUGCAUCUAAAAAAAAAAUAAAAAUUUAUUUCAUGUUUUGCAUGCUUGUGUGAGUUAGAUAGCUUUGCUGGCGAUGAUGUAUAAUAUUAAGAACAUGUAUUGGUUCAUGGAUUAUGGAUAAGUUACAUGUGUGAGUUAGAUUUUUGUUUAUUCGUGUGAAACGGAAAUUAUUUUUGUACGUGGGUUGAUUGUAGCGUUGUACAUAAGUAGGUUGAUCUAUAUUUAUAGGUUCAAUAAGAGAACUUAGAUGCUAAACCCAAACAACCUUUAAACACUAUUAUACCCUUAAACCAAAUAUAGGUUGUUUGGUAGGUUAAGCUGUUGCAGGAAAACUUGGAGAUAAAUGUGGAUUCCAUGUGUGCUAAAUUUUGUGUGGAUUGUCUGAGACUAAUAGGAUGAAAAUUGGGCGAAAACUUUAAGUUAGAUGUCGAUUUUCGAGAAUAGGUGUUUAAUAAGGGGCAUUGCACUAAUCAUUGCAUAAAAAAAAAGAUCCCAAUGAGGACAACUUUAAUAAUCUCAUUGUGAAUCGUCUCUUCGUAGCCUUUAUGACUCGAGUAAUUAAGCCUGUAAGGGUUUAAAACCUAGUGCCCUAAAGUCGUCUGAUUUGGGAGUUAUCGACCUAAAGCUCGUUACAAUGGUCAUUUAGAAAGCUUGAGGGAGUGACGUCCACACAAAGGGUGUUUAAAGAAUACAUACGUGUGUGUGUGUGUAUAUAUAUAUAUAUAUGUAUAUAUAUAUAUAUAUAUGUCACAUACUUUGACUAAAUCCCGAACACUUGUUUUAGAGGAUUAAACCUUUGACGAGAGGUUAGUAACUUAGUUGAUUCCUAGAGGUUGAAGCAGUCAAAAAUAAGGAGAAUCCUCAUUUGUUGAUAGGUUGAACUGCAAUAGUGAAAUCUAAUCAAACUUGAGCGAUGUAAGAAAUUAGCAUUGAAAAAAAAAAUCAACUUUAGAAUACACCUUGGAAAGAGAAAAGAAAACAAGUUUGGGGGUGUGUGAAUCCCACGAGCGAGGCGAGGAAAUAUUUUACUUUUAAGGUCAGAAAUUGGGCCAAUUUAUUAUUGUACAGCGUUAUGCUUAACUCUCCACACACACACCCGUUUGCAUUGAAUGAGCGAGGAUUUGACGCCUGCAUUAUAGUUUUGAAGUACUUCAUGAAUUUGAUGAUGUUAAUCUUGAGCAAUAAAUGCAAGGUGUCUAACAUAAAGUUUCUUUUGAGUGACUUUGUCUGUCUUAGUUGUGUUUUUUGUGCUCGUUAAUAAUUAUCUUUAGUAUUGUGUUUGCUCGAGGACAAGCAAAGAACUAAGUUUGGGGGUGUUUGAUGAGUGUAAUUCACUCAUUAAACUAAAGUUUCUAAAUCAUGUUUUUGAUGUGUUCUUCAGCAUUUUUGAACGUUUUGAUGUGUGUGUGUUAGUGUUGUUUUGCAGUUUGGACAACUCUCGAGAAAAUACCACUAUUGGGAGUCGGUGAUGAGCAAAAAUGAUGAUCAAUGAAAUGGAGCAUGAAUAAGCAAGUAUUGAAUAAGAUUGGAGUAGAAAAUAGGCUUGGAAAAACAAGGAGAAGAGAAGCAAAGCAAUGACAUUGGCGCCAUGGUGCCCAAUGAAUGAAAAAAAAUGAGCAGAAACUUGGGCGCCAUGGCGCCUGUUCCCAAAACGUUAAAAUCCGAGUUUUUAAGUAUCUUUUCGGCCCAAAAAUCAUACCCUAACCCUUGAGGACCCUUAGAAAAUAUAAAUACCUAGAUGAAGAACAAGAGAAGGGUUUUAGACGGCUGAAGAGGCAAGAAAAAAGAGAGGCACCAAUUGAAGGAAGAUCCACCCGAUUUUGGAGAAGAAGAAGGGAGAAACUGAAAAAUCAAGCAACAAAAUUGAGAAAUAGAGCGGCAACCUGAGUUUUUCUUAUCUUUCUCUUCUCCAUGCGAUUUAAUUUGUAUUUUAUCAUGUUCUUCUUCUCAAUCAUGAACUAAGUUAUUAAAUCUAGGAUUUGAUGUAACCUAUUUGAGACAUGAUUCAAUUUCUUUAUAGUAUUUCCAUUUAAUUUUUCAGAAUUGAUUUGUAUUGUUCUUGCUUAAUGCUUUCAGUUGCCUGAUCACCAAUUGAAUGAAUUGAUGUUCUAAAUUCGAUGCUCGAGAGAGGGAAAUUUAGGUGUGAUCUAAGAACAAUAUAACCUAGGUUUGUAGGUUUCGAGAGAAAGUACGA